rnacentral:lncRNA from 1 species
GGCUCCCAAGGGGGGAGGGCGGGCGCCUUGCCCUCGGGCCCGAUCGGCCUCCCGUUCGUUCCCGUGGCUUCUGGACUCUUCUAGAUGUUGAAUAAUUGCAGUGCUCGUUAAUAUCUCUAUGUAAACCUGACGUGUGGGCCCUUCUUCCAUAUUUCCUGAUAACCCCCUGCAGAAAUAGAUAAACAACAAAACUCAUGGAAUUCUGUCAGAUCAAACCCUAAUUCUAGGUGUUGUUUGUAUAUUGGUCCUUUCCCUUAUUUAUUUCAUAGUUAAAAUUGAUACUUAAGAACCGUCAACAAACACCCCCAUACUUAGGCUUUUACUCAUCCUCGAGAAAAGGAUGGUCUAGAAAAAUAUCUGGGGUUAAAACAUUGCAAAGCAUUCUUCUUAUACCUGCAGGGUGUUGUAAAAAUCCACUGUGUACCGUAGUCAGGGUAAUAUAUGGUCAAGAGUAGAGGGCCUUUCUUCUCAAUCCUGUCACUUGGAGUUUUUGUAUAUUUUGAAAAGAAAUUCAGUAUACCUUUAUCCUCGUAGGUUCUCUCAGGUUGCUCAUUUAUCUUUUAUAUAUCUCACUGAGGCUGUUUUAAUUUGCAGAAAUUCUCAAUCAUACUUACCUUGCAUUUAUUGCCUGAUCAAAAUAGGAUCCGAGGAGAGGAAUGUCAUACUCUUAGAUCAAAGACUUUGGAAAUUAAAAACUUGUCAACUCUUACUGGCAUAUUGCUUAUUAGAGGGACCAUGGGCUAUCAUUUUUUCUUUCUUUUCUCUUCUUUUCUUUUUUUCAAGUGGAUACCGAGGUACCUCUAAUUCUACUACCGGACACUUGUCCAUUUUUUCUGCGAGGUUGUCGAGCACUUGCUCCUUUUUAUUUCCUUGAAAUAUUCAUAUUUUUGCAUAGCCCAUGCCUCUAACGCAAUAAUACUUCGGAAGAGUGAAUCUUGCUAAAUAAAUGUCUUGAUCUUAGGAGCAUGAUAAAUCUCUCAACAAGGGUCUAACUCGUUUUGAACAAACUCAAUACAGAGCAGAUAGCUUUUAUAAUAAUUAAGAUUUUCAGGUUUAGCAGGCAUAUAAAACAUUGAGGAUGGUAGCUAGAAUUUUUGAAGAUUUUGAAAUAAAUUCUCCAAGCAACAACGAUAUCAAGAAUAAGAUACUCAUACUCUACCAUCUCACAUUCCACUGUGACUUAAGUAACACAGGGUUUUCAAAUGAUUCUUAAUAAUUGCAAGUUUUCAGGAAAUAUCACAGAGUGAGAUUGAUCAUGAUUAGAAACAUUUUGAUCUUGUUAAUUUAUCAUGUCGGAGACAAUAUUCUGCAUGAACCAAGAUGUAUGUGCAGAGUAUGUACCUGAAUCAUGGAGUGGUGUAGUCGAAGUGCGUUUAGCAUGUCAGGGGAUCUCCCCUGUACUUGUUUUCUGCUUACUUGCAUAAAAAAUAAAGUAGAGACACACAAAACAUAAUAAUAAUCUUUAUUAAUCUUGAGGCAUUUAUUACAAAUGACUAGUAAUAAACUGAAGCUAAUAAUAGAUCUAAGCCGAAUUUAAAGAUAAAUAACUAAGAUAUACUGCCUCAAGAUAUAAUCUAGAUAACUUAGCGGCGCUCUAACUCACUAAUCUUCUUAUUGGCACUAGCAAGAUCAUGCUUAAGACCUAGUAUAACGGUGUUCUAGUUAGAGAGCUGCCUAUUGAUGGAGUUAACCGAGGACUGGAGCUCUAUGAUGACCUUGUCUAGCCUACGAACGUCCUCAUCUACAUCUACUAUAGUCUUGGGUGCUUAGGUGGUGUCUCAAGAGCGUUGAGGGCGUGCUUCAUGGCUGCCUUUGGAGGGAUGAAACGGACUUUGGCUGCUCUAGUCCCCUCGAAGUAAGGCCUCUCCUCCUCCGUAGUGUAGCGGAUGCUGUUGAUCUCGCUGGUCUGGCUGAUCUUGACUCCGACGACCCGCUCAUUGGGCCUGGGUGG